AUACGGAGGAUGCAAGCGUUAUCCGGAUUUAUUGGGUUUAAAGGGUGCGUAGGCGGUUUGCUAAGCGGGAGGUGAAAUGCCGGCGCUCAACGUCGGAAGUGCCUCCCGAACUGGUGGACUGGAAUGACUCUGCCGUGGGAGGAAUGUGUAGUGUAGCGGUGAAAUGCUUAGAGAUUACACAGAACACCGAUUGCGAAGGCAGCUCACGAAGGGUUGAUUGACGCUGAGGCACGAAAGCGUGGGGAUCAAACAGGAUUAGAUACCCUGGUAGUCCACGCAGUAAACGAUGAUGGCUAACCGCUGGUUUUUUCGGAUCAGUGGCCAAGCGAAAGCGAUAAGCCAUCCACCUGGGGAGUACGACCGCAAGGUUGAAACUCAAAUGAAUUGACGGGG
rnacentral:rRNA from 1 species